rnacentral:lncRNA from 9 species
UACCUACUCUGGGAGAGGUGCUGGGAGCCAUUCCCCAAGUUUCCUUGGCAGGUGGAGGAGACCUGCCCUGGGUGGCAGAGUCUUGUCUCAGCCGCUGGUGUUGCGGCGCUAGUGGUUACAGGCUCAGACUUGGCUCAGGCAGGCGUGGGUCAGGCCCUGACACAUCGCCUGGGAAGUACUGGGUUCCUGUCCAUGGUGGUGUCACACACAGAGUGGAGGCACAACCUGUGGCCAGGGCUCUGCUCUUGGGCUUCUCAGGGUGAGAGUGAAGAAUUAUGAGUUCUAGAAUCUUUGUGCCUUGGCUCAAUCAGCUUCCAUCCCCUCGCAGGGGGCAAAUCUCUGUCUACACCCGUACCCACUCCAUCGACACCUGUCUACUCCAUGCCGCACACAUGCUCCCUGGUGUCCUCUCCUCUCGGCAACCCUGGAAGUUGGCCCAUUAUCCCUAUGUGGCCAAGGAGGAGCCUGUCACUCAGAGAAGGCCUCUGCUAAGGAGAGAGCAGGCCCCCCGGGCGACACUAACGAGGGAGAGGAAGCAGACCCGUCUCCAACCAAGUCUGUCAUGAGGCCAUAUGCUCACCUGGCCCCUUAAACUCGCUGCUGGCUGCUGCCCGGCUGGCGUGGAUGAGCCAGGAGGGUGUGCGGGAGAGCUCCUGGCCCCCGAAUAGGACCAAACCUGAGCCCGGGGCCAGGGGGAGACCACAGCCCCCGACACCCGUGGGAGCACCCACCGGUCUGCAGUUUGAGGAUUGCUACAGCUACCUCGCUUCUUGAGUGUUUGCAAGGCAUCACCACAACAAGGCACGUAUCAUUUCCGCUUUACACAGCAACCUCGGAGCAGAGCGAGGCAUCUGUUCUCCGAUUUUUGUGAUGAGAAAUUGGGAUUCAGAGAAGGAAAUACAGCUGUUUGAGGUCAGCCAGGAUCUGACCACAGGCCUGCUUGAAUCCAAAGUUUGGGUUCCUCAUGAUCACGCCACUGCCCAACAGGGAGGAGGGAGCAAGAACUGGGAGCUGGGUUCCUGAGAGCCUCUGAUUCCAGAGCUUUCAUAGGGAAGAGGCUGCGGAGCCUCAGGGCUCAGACUCUUGAGGUCACUGCAGCCCUUGGCCUGGACCAAGUCCAGCUCACACGGCCCCCCCUCUCAGCUUGCCUGCUCUGGGGCUGACAGGGGUGCUCUGUGCCCAUAGCCAGGCUGCCUGGGUGCUCAGAGAGGGGGUGAGUCCUGGGAGAGGGCCCUGUCCUGAGCUGGGGAGGGGACCAGCGUUGAGGUGUGGCUCGUCCUCUGUGCACACCUCUGGGAGAGCACGCCUCUUGCUCUGGAGCCACAGUCCCUCUCUCUUGGCUGGACUUCAGGCCUUUUGGGGUGGGGACCCAGCCUGGUUCAGCUCUGUGUGUCUUGUAUCCACCUGUCCAUUUGCGUAGCAAGUGUUUCCUGAGCACAUAUUACAGGCACUAGAGAUACAACAAUAAAAAAAAUUGGCAAAACCCCUACCCUUGGGGAAACGAAUGCUCUAGAAAGGUAG